rnacentral:rRNA from 1 species
UAGGGAAUCUUCGGCAAUGGACGGAAGUCUGACCGAGCAACGCCGCGUGAGUGAAGAAGGUUUUCGGAUCGUAAAGCUCUGUUGUAAGAGAAGAACGAGUGUGAGAGUGGAAAGUUCACACUGUGACGGUAUCUUACCAGAAAGGGACGGCUAACUACGUGCCAGCAGCCGCGGUAAUACGUAGGUCCCGAGCGUUGUCCGGAUUUAUUGGGCGUAAAGCGAGCGCAGGCGGUUAGAUAAGUCUGAAGUUAAAGGCUGUGGCUUAACCAUAGUACGCUUUGGAAACUGUUUAACUUGAGUGCAAGAGGGGAGAGUGGAAUUCCAUGUGUAGCGGUGAAAUGCGUAGAUAUAUGGAGGAACACCGGUGGCGAAAGCGGCUCUCUGGUCUGUAACUGACGCUGAGGCUCGAAAGCGUGGGGAGCAAACAGGAUUAGAUACCCUGGUAGUCCACGCCGUAAACGAUGAGUGCUAGGUGUUAGACCCUUUCCGGGGUUUAGUGCCGCAGCUAACGCAUUAAGCACUCCGCCUGGGGAGUACGACCGCAAGGUUG